CACAAGGUUCUAGAUGAAGCUCUAAGUGCAGUUCCCAGAUCAGCUCACUGGAUCUUCACAGGAAACUGGUGCUGUGUACCAGAGACUGAAGGCAAGGGUGCUCUCUCACUGAGCUAAAGCCCAGCUCUCAUAAGGACCUCGCGCUUGUGAGGUACAGUGGGUUCUCCAGGAUAUAACUCCACCCACCCUACGUUGGGGGCGUCUGUCCCUACAGCAUCCCCUGGGCCCAAC